UAACGACUCUCGGCAACGGAUAUCUCGGCUCUCGCAUCGAUGAAGAACGUAGCGAACUGCGAUACUUGGUGUGAAUUGCAGAAUCCCGUGAACCAUCGAGUCUUUGAACGCAAGUUGCGCCCGAAACCUUUUGGUCGAGGGCACGUUUGCCUGGGUGUCA
rnacentral:rRNA from 1 species